CCUACGGGGGGCUGCAGUAGGGAAUAUUGGUUAAUGGGCGAAAGCCUGACCCAGCAACGCCGCGUGAACGAUGAAGGCCUUCGGGUUGUAAAGUUCUUUUGGCAGGGAUGAGGAAGGACAGUACCUGUCGAAUAAGUCUCGGCUAACUACGUGCCAGCAGCCGCGGUAACACGUAGGAGACGAGCGUUAUCCGGAUUUACUGGGUGUAAAGCGCGUGUAGGCGGAUUAGUAAGUUGGAUGUGAAAGCUCCCGGCUUAACUGGGAGAGGUCGUUCA
rnacentral:rRNA from 1 species